AACGAACGCUGGCGGCAGGCUUAACACAUGCAAGUCGAACGGACGUAGCAAUACGUUAGUGGCAGACGGGUGAGUAACGCGUGGGAAUAUGCCCUUUAGUUCGGAAUAACUCAGGGAAACUUGAGCUAAUACCGGAUAAUCCCGAGAGGGGAAAGAUUUAUCGCUGAAGGAGUAGCCCGCGUCUGAUUAGCUAGUUGGUGAGGUAAUGGCUCACCAAGGCGACGAUCAGUAGCUGGUCUGAGAGGAUGAUCAGCCACACUGGGACUGAGACACGGCCCAGACUCCUACGGGAGGCAGCAGUUAGGAAUCUUGGACAAUGGGCGCAAGCCUGAUCCAGCCAUGCCGCGUGAGUGAUGAAGGCCUUAGGGUUGUAAAGCUCUUUCAGCGGGGAAGAAAAUGACGGUACCCGCAGAAGAAGCCCCGGCUAACUUCGUGCCAGCCGCCGCCGUAAUAC
rnacentral:rRNA from 1 species